UACGUAGGGAGCAAGCGUUGUCCGGAAUCAUUGGGCGUAAAGCGCGCGUAGGUGGCCUCGUAAGUCCGCUGUGAAAGUCAAAGGCUCAACCUUUGAAAGCCGGUGGAUACUGUGGGGCUAGAGUACGGAAGAGGCGAGUGGAAUUCCUGGUGUAGCGGUGGAAUGCGCAGAUAUCAGGAGGAACACCAAUGGCGAAGGCAGCACUCUGGGACGUGACUGACGCUGAGACGCGAAAGCGUGGGGAGCAAACAGGG
rnacentral:rRNA from 1 species